GUACCGAAGCUCACUUAUAUCUAGUAAUGGAUAUCUUUUGAUGUACAAUCAGCAUUCCUAAAAUCUGAGACCGGUUUCACAUAUGGAGAAUGAAUGCAUUAAAAGCUUUUCAUUGUAAACUGAAGAUACAGAAAUUCAAGACGAAGAAAAUGGCUUUUAAAUCAUCCGGAUAUCUCAACCCGUUUCGAAGAUAUAAACUUCUAAAGUUCGGGCACAGCGUUUGGCACAGUGACCGAGUUUUGUGCCUGGCAAAAAAGCGUAUCAGCUGAGCGUCUAGCCCGGUGAGCCGGUCAACGUGCGAGAAGGAGAGCAAUAGCAACGCUAGCUGUCUUCAUGCCCGGAGUCCGGAGUCAGUUUUUGCAGCCGACAAAAAACGUCUCGUCUCGAGAGCGAUAACUUACACAAUGAUGAACGGCGUUCCUCGUACCUCCGUGUGAAACCGUUUUAAAGGGUGUAGAAUCCUAUUGGAUCCCAACAGAACUUCUGUAUUACAUAUGUACCGAGCGUUGUAUCAUGCCUCGGCACAGUCCAUUCAAAUUUGCAAAGCAUAAAUAGCAUUUAAACGUCAA